rnacentral:tRNA from 1 species
GGCUCUAUAGUUCAAGGGAUAGAACAAAGGUUUCCUAAACCUUAGAUUCGCGUUCGAGUCGCGGUGGAGCUACAA